rnacentral:rRNA from 1 species
GAUGAACGCUGGCGGCGUGCUUAACACAUGCAAGUCGAACGGAAAGGCUCCUGCUUGCAGGGGUACUCGAGUGGCGAACGGGUGAGUAACACGUGGGUGAUCUGCCCUGCACUUCGGGAUAAGCCUGGGAAACUGGGUCUAAUACCGGAUAGGACGAUGGUUUGGAUGCCAUUGUGGACAGUUUUUUCGGUGUGGGAUGAGCUCGCGGCCUAUCAGCUUGUUGGUGGGGUAAUGGCCUACCAAGGCGUCGACGGGUAGCCGGCCUGAGAGGGUGUACGGCCACAUUGGGACUGAGAUACGGCCCAGACUCCUACGGGAGGCAGCAGUGGGGAAUAUUGCACAAUGGGCGCAAGCCUGAUGCAGCGACGCCGCGUGGGGGAUGACGGCCUUCGGGUUGUAAACUCCUUUCGCUAGGGACGAAGCGCAAGUGACGGUACCUGGAGAAGAAGCACCGGCUAACUACGUG